rnacentral:rRNA from 1 species
UACGGGGGGGGCAAGCGUUGUUCGGAAUUACUGGGCGUAAAGGGUUCGUAGGUGGCCAACUAAGUCAGACGUGAAAUCCCUCAGCUUAACUGGGGAACUGCGUCCGAGACUGGAUGGCUUGAGUGCAGGAGAGGAACGCGGAAUUCCAGGUGUAGCGGUGAAAUGCGUAGAUAUCUGGAGGAACACCGGUGGCGAAGGCGGCGUUCUGGACUGCUACUGACACUGAGGAACGAAAGCGAGGGGAGCAAACGGG